UUGACCACAUGAUGGAUUACUGCAGUGAAAGACACAAUGGAAACAGAAGAAGCAAUACGAAAGCAGAAAACCAGAGCGGCUGCGUGGCACGGAGUCUUCCAGGGAAAGCCCUGUCCUUGAAUCACAGUAGACAAGGUCACUGUUAAAGCUUCCAGAAGUAAACAAACCAGCAGACAACCAAUCCGGAGGACUAGUAGGUAAUAUCAUUUCAUACUGACUUUAUUCACUGUCUUAGCAGGACAAGGCUACACAGUCCUGCUAUUUGCAAUUAAAGUUAACCUUUUUAAAUUUUUUUUUUCAAGUUAGCAAUACAACCCCCCCAGAUUAACAGCAUUAUUAUUUUCACAUUUUUAUCUGACACACACACAAAAAAAAAAAAAAACAUGAGAUAAAGACUAAAAAAGAAAAUUUCAAAACCUAAAGUAACAAAUCACCUGCUCUCAAACAAAAUGAUAUCAUGACAGGACAGGGGAAGCAAGGAAGGAAGCUGUUCCUGGUUUCCGGUGAGAAAUGCUGCAGUGGGACACCCUGGGGUCCUUGUGCUGCUCGAUUGGGUCUGUGCACAUUUCUUGAGGAGCUGCCUGAAGGAGCCUCUCAACAGGACCAGCUGAGCCAGCCAGUCAGCCUCCCUGCAACUGCAGAGACACUCCUGAACCUUCACUGGACCACACAGAGACACUCCCAGAACCUUCACUGGACCACACAGACACUCCUGAACCUUCACUGUACCACACAGAGACACUCCCAGCACCUUCACUGGACCACACAGACACUCCUGAACCUUCACUGGACCACACAGAGACACUCCCAGAACCUUCACUGGACCACAGAGAGACACUCCUGAACCUUCACUGGACCACACAGAGACACUCCCAGAACCUUCACUGGACCACAGAGAGACACUCCCAGAACCUUCACUGGACCACACAGAGACACACCUGAACCUUCACUGGACCACAGAGAGACACUCCCAUAAACCUUCGCUGGACCAAACAGAGAUACUUCCUGAACCUUCACCGGACCAAACAGACUCUCUCCUGAUUACACAGAGAAGUGAAGUAAGAUUGUGUGGAUGGGGUGUUAGUCAAACUGAGACUGUAUUACUGUGCGUUCCAUGUGUGCAAGGCUGCGUCAGACUGCAUCCUAAUGGUACAAACCACCAGGGGUAAUAAUAACUGUUUGGGGCUUCCUGUUUCUUUGAUUUGGCUGUGCACUGUCACAGUGCCACGAGACACACAUUCCUUGAGGAGCAAGUCUGUGAUCUAAAGAUGUUCCUGUCUACCUACCUGUCCAGUUACCGAGGAUCUCAAAAUACAGGAUUCGAAAAACAAUAGGUGAGAUUGGACAAGUGUAAGAAAUUAUAUUAUCUAUAGAAACAAACACAAUUUAAGAGUAAGUAUAGCUCAUUUUUCAAAAACAGUUGAUCACACAGAUAGAAUAUGAAAGUUAUCUGGGCUAUGUUGUUAUCAUUGGUCAGUCUUUGUUCCACCACCCCUCCUCCGUAGUGUCAAGCCCCAGGGGUUGCUGGGAGUUGCAGUUUCUGAGAAGGCUGGAGAAAGCGGUUGUGGCUACCCCUGCUGGCAGCAGAGUCCUGAUUCUACUUCUGAUUCCAUUCAUUUUCAUAAAGCACUUGAUUUUCCUAGGGGGUUAGCUCUGAUUGGUAUGAUAAGGGAGAGAGAGAGAGAGACAUCCUUCCAUCACCUCACAGCUUGGACUGCAGGGGCUUCAGGUACUUGU